AUAUAUUUGCAGAGCAGGAGUUUCCAGCAGUUCUAAUGGAUCAGAGUAUAGCAGAAAGAUAUGUAGCUGGUGAAUCCAGUGAUUCUGAAGCAGAGAUUCUUAAACCAGACUAUUACUCUUUGUAUGGCAAAGGAAUAAAGUCUCCAUGGCCAGAAUCCAUGUGUCUUCUGGUCAUCUACAGCUAGAUGAAGAAGAUGAAGAUGCUUCUUUCAAUAAACCAACUGCUGAAGACAGGACUUGCUAAAAACAUGUAAUUACUUUUUAGCUU
rnacentral:lncRNA from 1 species